rnacentral:lncRNA from 1 species
CUGUUCACACAGCAAGCACACUUCGUUUAGGAACAUUUCUCUUUAACCUCUUUUAGACUGACAUGCAUGUUCAUCUCCAUACCUAAUGGGAACUUGUCAGGGUUGACGUCGAUCCCAAUGAUUUUAGAGGCUCCCCUGACUCUUGCACCUUCAGCCACCUUUUCCCCAAUUAUUAACAAGGCAUUAAGAGUGAGAGUCUAUGUGUAACCAAUUCCAUGGUGAUACAACGAAGAGGAACCUGAACUUACGGCAAGUCCAACAGCGCCAAGUCCAAAUAUAGCGACGGUGGAGCCAGGUUGAAUAUCAGCCACAUUCCAUGCCGCACCGACUCCUUCAUUCCAUAAACACUUAUCUCUUUCAUUAAAUAAGCAAACCACAUAUAUCAUGCAUGUCAUAUAUACAGUAUACAGAGAUGCAAUUAACUAAUUACCAGUGGAGACACCGCAGCUGAGGAGGCUUAUCUUCUCCAGAGGAAACAGAGGGUUCACCUUGAGCACGCAAGCCGAGUCUAUGACCGUGUACUCGGAGAAGGUGGAUGUGUUGAGAAAAUGGUAGAUGGGUUUGUUGUCUUUGCUUGUGAAGAAUUUGGUCUUUCCAUCAAUUACCAUCACCUUCUUCAUCGGAUCUACUCGGAAUCUCUCGCACAGAUUGGCUUCGUCUUGCUUGCAGACUCUGCAAUCUCCACACUCUCCUGUGAAAAUAGGGAGCACAUGAUCUCCUGCCUUCAUCUCUUCCACUCCUUCCCCUACGCUCUCCACUAUUCUGUAAUUUAUCCAUCAAUUGAGGGAUGAAAAAUGAGAUCCAUACAGAUUUUAUUCGACUUACCCUGCCGCCUCAUGGCCAAGGAUUCGAGGGUUUAGGGUUUAGGGUUUAGGGUUUAGGGUUUAGGGUUUAGGGUUUAGGGUUUAGGGUUUAGGGUUUAGGGUUUAGGGUUUAGGGUUUAGGGUUUAGGACGCCAAUGGCAGUAUGAUCGAAGAACUAUGCACGAUGGGUUUGCAAACACACAUAGUUUUCUUUAUGAGGGUAAGCGUAUCACUUUAUUACCAUCUCAGACUGCUUCAGAGCCGCUAGUCAUAAGUAAACCUGUUGAGUCUUCUCCGCUCCCAAUUGAAACUACAAAACCAGCGUUGUUAGUUUCCAAGUCGCAGAUUUUUGAAGAAUUUCAAACAACAGACAUAGUCUUUUUUCUGCUUCUCAAGCCGCAGAUUUUGUCCUUAAUUUCAUACGCACCAACAGAUUUUUAUGGAGUUUUGACUGAAUUUCAAGACGUGUUUCCUGAUGAAUUACCAGAGGGUCUACCACCAUUAAGAGGUAUUCAACAUUGUAUCGAUCUAGCCUCUAACACGGUGUUGCCAAAUCGACCACAUUACCGUAUGAGCCCUAAAGAACACGAUGAACUGCGGAAACAAGUUGAAGAUCUUUUGGCUAAGGGAUAUAUUCGUGAGAGCUUAAGUCCUUGUGGAGUUCCCGCUUUGCUUAUCCCCAAGAAGGAUGGAUCUUGGCGUAUGUGUGUAGACAGCAGAGCGAUUAACAAAAUUACUAUUCGCUACAGAUUUCCUAUCCCGCGUCUAGAUGAUCUCUUAGACCAAAUUGGAGCAACCUCUAUUUUUACAAAAUUAGAUCUUCGUAGCGGUUAUCAUCAGAUCCGAAUCAGACCGGGUGACGAGUGGAAAACAGCCUUUAAAACGCGAGAAGGAUUGUUUGAGUGGCUUGUAAUGCCUUUUGGGUUAUCGAACGCUCCAAGUACGUUCAUGCGAGUGAUGAAUGAAGCUUUGCGGCCAUUUAUUGGACGUUUUGUAGUUGUUUAUUUCGAUGAUAUACUCAUCUUUAGUGCAUCUCUGACCGAACAUCUCACUCACCUACGUGACGUUUUACUUGUGUUGCGACGAGAGAAGUUGUUUGCUGCUACAAAAAAGUGUGUGUUUGGUGUUGAACAAGUGCUUUUUUUGGGCUACAUUAUCUCUUCACGAGGCUUAGAAGCGGAUCCAACAAAGAUUUCAGCUAUACAAUCAUGGCCUACUCCUCGGACAGUGACUGAUGUGCGUAGUUUCCAUGGGCUAGCUUUAUCACUUUAGCAGCAUCAUGGCACCGGUAACGGACUGUAUGAAGUCAGACUCUUUUUGUUGGACCAAGGAAGCAGAGAUGGCGUUUCAAGAAAUCAAAACAAAGCUAACCUCUGCCCCGGUUCUUAUCCUUCCCGAUUUCAAUAUUGCUUUUGAAUUACACUGUGAUGCGUCUAAAGCAGGAAUCGGAGCAGUCUUAAGUCAAUCAAGUCGUCCAGUUGCUUUUUUUAGUGAAAAAAUUGCAGGAUCUCGUGAACGGUAUAGUACUUACGAUGUCGAGCUUUAUGCCGUCGUACAAGCUGUUAAGCAUUGGCGUCACUACCUCUUUCAUCGCGAAUUUGUUCUCUACACCGAUCAUGACGCUCUUAAACACAUGGGCUCUCAAGAUAAAGUCUCCGCAAGACAUGCUUCUUGGUUUGCAUAUUUACAACAAUUCUCUUUUGUUAUUAAGCAUACUGCUGGUACACUUAACAAGGUUGCUGAUGCGUUGAGUAGAAGACAUGUUCUGUUAACAACCUUACACGUCUCCGUCCCUGGACUUGUACCCAACUGAUCCAUUUUUUGGCAAAAUUUGGAGAGAUACGGAGCUGGGAAUCGGUACUGUUUAUGUGAUUUAUGAUGGCUUUUUGUUUCGUGGUGCUCAAUUAUGCAUUCCUGAGUGUAGUUUGAGGCUACAUCUAAUUCGUGAGCUUCAUGGUGAAGGCCACAUCGGAAGAGAUCGUACGUUGAAAUUGGUUAGAUCUUCUUACUUUUGGCCCACGUUACGCCGAGAUGUAGAACGGUUUAUUGUGCGUUGUGGAAUUUGUCAAGCAGCUAAGGGGAAAGCAACCAAUUCUGGUUUAUAUCUUCCUCUCCCAAUUCCCACACAGCCGUGGACAGACGUGAGUAUGGAUUUUGUGCUUGGUUUACCUAGAACGCAAAAAGGUAAUGACUCGAUCUUUGUCGUCGUUGAUCGUUUCUCCAAGAUGGUGCAUUUUAUUCCUUGUAAGAAGACGACAGAUGCAAUGCAAGUAGCUGUUUUGUUUUUUCGCGAGGUUUAUAAGCUUCACGGCUUGCCUUUGUCUAUUGUUUCGGAUCGAGACUCGCGCUUUUUGAGUCACUUUUGGCGAUCUCUUUGGCGACUUUUGCGCACAAAACUAGACAUGAGUUCAGCCUAUCACCCCCAAACGGAUGGCCAAACUGAAGUUACUAACAGAGCUUUAGGCGAUUUGUUGAGAUGCUUAGUUGGAGAUCAUAUCAAAUCAUGGGAUUUGGUACUUUGUCAGGCUGAAUUUGCUCAUAACCGAGCUGUUAACCGUAGUACAGGUUUUAGUCCUUUUCAAGUGGUUUGUGGCUAUUUACCUCGUUGUCCUGCGGAUCUAGCUAUUAGUCCAGAUCGUACCCGUUUUCAUGGUCGAGCUUGUGAUUUUGUCGAAGAAUUUGCUGCAAUUCAUGAUCAAGUUCAUUCUAAUUUGGAAACAGCCACAACAAAGUAUAAAUCUGCAGUUGAUUUGCAUCGACGUGACGUUCAAUUCAAGGUUGGAGAUCUAGUGUGGGCUGUGCUAACCAAGGAUCGUUUCAAGGCAGGAACUUACAACAAGCUCAAAGCAAGAAAGAUCGGCCCUCUUGAGAUAUUGGAGAAGAUUAAUAACAAUGCAUAUCGCCUCAAGCUUCCUCCACACAUGAACACAGCCGACGUCUUUAAUGUUAAGCAUUUGGUCCCAUUUGUAAGAAGACGACAUGCUUCUUGGUUUGCAUAUUUACAACAAUUCUCUUUUGUUAUUAAGCAUACUGCUGGUACACUUAACAAGGUUGCUGAUGCGUUGUAUCGUUUUAGAAGUUUUCCUUUAUGUUUGAAUUUUUCUUUUAUGUUUAAUUUCUAUUUCUUUGAGCUCUGCAAUUAGGUCUUAGAGUGUUUCUUAUGACGGUUUAUUGACACCUAUAUAAAGCUUUGUAAUCUCUCUUAAGAGAGUUGGUUUUUAUUGAAUAAGAAAAGAGGUUUCCCUCACAUUGAAGUCUUCGAAUUCUCUCUGUUUUACAAAGAAUUCAAAGCACAAAACCUUGUUUCAAGAUCCAUUGAUCCUUGAAACCUUGUUUUGCUAUCUUACCGCUGCAUUAACUUGUGUGUUUUGUAGUUGUAAGUAGCAAGUUGUAGAUGCAAGCCGUAGACAAGUUGGAGAAAGAUGAGGCCUUGAAAACAUUUCCAACUUUUAUUUUAGUAUGGGGGGUGGACCAGACCCAAUAAGGAAACUCUGAAAGCAGUACAAUAAUCACACAGACUUGGAAAAUGAAAAGGAUGUUUCUAUUCAGAGGCGGAGAAGGCAACGAAUAGCUUUGCCUUGGUGAAGCAGCUGCAUGGCUUUGUUGAUAUCGUGGAAUGGAAGCUGGUGAGAGAUGAAGAGAUCGAGAUUGAGAAGACCUUGGAGGCAUUGGGUGAUGAGAAAGGGUAAUUGGGUUUUGGGUUUGAAGCCUCCGAAAACAGAGGCGGUGAUGGAUCUGCCUUGGAAGAGCUCCAUGGGAUGGAUAGGAAGAAGCUGUGGGCUUGCGUGAACGCCCAGCAACACUGUCACUCCCACUCCUGAGUUAGUAGACAGAAAGGCUUCUCUAAGUGCUUCUAUGCUUCCCGCACACUCAAAGCUGCACUCCACUCCUCCCUCUGUUAUCUCCCUUACUCUCUCAUGAACUGCCUUGUCACUCUCCUUUGGAUUUAUGAAUUCACUGAUCCCUGCUUCUCUGCCUGUUCACACAGCAAGCACACUUCGUUUAGGAACAUUUCUCUUUAACCUCUUUUAGACUGACAUGCAUGUUCAUCUCCAUACCUAAUGGGAACUUGUCAGGGUUGACGUCGAUCCCAAUGAUUUUAGAGGCUCCCCUGACUCUUGCACCUUCAGCCACCUUUUCCCCAAUUAUUAACAAGGCAUUAAGAGUGAGAGUCUAUGUGUAACCAAUUCCAUGGUGAUACAACGAAGAGGAACCUGAACUUACGGCAAGUCCAACAGCGCCAAGUCCAAAUAUAGCGACGGUGGAGCCAGGUUGAAUAUCAGCCACAUUCCACGCCGCACCGACUCCUUCAUUCCAUAAACACUUAUCUCUUUCAUUAAAUAAGCAAACCACAUAUAUCAUGCAUGUCAUAUAUACAGUAUACAGAGAUGCAAUUAACUAAUUACCAGUGGAGACACCGCAGCUGAGGAGGCUUAUCUUCUCCAGAGGAAACAGAGGGUUCACCUUGAGCACGCAAGCCGAGUCUAUGACCGUGUACUCGGAGAAGGUGGAUGUGUUGAGAAAAUGGUAGAUGGGUUUGUUGUCUUUGCUUGUGAAGAAUCUGGUCUUUCCAUCGGUUACCAUCAC